rnacentral:lncRNA from 1 species
CACAAGGCCAAAACAUCUUAUAUAGUGUCGGGCUAAUUAGUUGCUUUAUGGAAGAGUCAAAGUCGAUACAUAUAACGACUGCAAAGUGAAUUAUGCGCUACAUUAAAGAUACUCUCAAGCACAGACUACUCUAAUCGAUUUCUAAUGAUUUUUGGUUAGUUGGCUAUUUGGACAGUGAUUGGGAUGCAAAUCUAGAAGACUGGAAAAGCACAAUC